CCAACAAUAAGAACUGUCAAUACCAAAAACAAAUUUCUAGGGUUUGUAUUUGAUUUUCCAUCUAUAGAAUUUUUUUUUUAAUCACAUGUUUUUCUUUUUUUCCUAAAUUAUAUACAUUUAAAUGAUAAACCCAAGAAUUAUUUCCUCCGGGCCACACAAUGAAUAAACCUAAAUAAAAUGUAAAUCUAUUAGGUUUAUAUUUGCCCAGAUUCCAGGAGAUACCUAAGGGAGCAUGAAGAAACCUACUCUGCCUUAGACCUGGGUUGGAAAGCCAGGAUCCAAGCGAUCACCUGAUGGAAAAUUCACAGCUAAAUCAGUUCUUCUGCAGGUCAGUCUUUAUCUGCCAGGUCAUGGACAUUGUCUCCAGUGUGUUUUGUCAUUCUGCCUUUCAGGUUCUGCAGGAUUUACCUGGAUUCCGUGGUGUGCCUGAACCCCUGGAUGUGUUCAUCCAAACAGAAGAAUAGAGGGAAUAAAUCUGGAGUGUUUCUGCCGUGUUCUCUAGUCUGGCUCUACUGAGUCAUCACUUAAUGAUAUAUUUAAUCACAUAAAUGUUUUCCCUAGUCCUGCACAUGUCUGCUUGACAGCACUGCCUCAAGAGCCCUGGAGUUUUCCAGCCAGCUGGGCUCGGAGCAAGGACAGUGGAUACUUGACAGUGCACACUGAGAGUGGCCUUCCCAGCCUCUUCAGUCAGUCCCAAACAAGAUUUGAAUACAAGCUGCUGUGGUUUUAAUUAGGUAAGCAGGGUCUGGAUAGCUUGCACGUGAUACCCAUAUAAAACAUCUUAUUUUCUCAUUCUCAGCAGUGAUUCCAACAAAGCUGCUUUGCUGUGGGAGAAAAGGGAAAUUCUUCAUGUCACCAAAACAUCCCAGGAUCCAAAGAUGAGGGAGAACCUAUUGCAAUACCAGCUCAGAUGUUUUUGGAGUGAAGUUCAGCUGAAUGGGGGGCUCAUGAAGCUGAGAUCUGACAUGACCACAGGUGGAUUUUGCUUCCAGUGAAGAUGGUAUAAGGCAUAAACUGCAAAGGGGUGAUCUGCCCCCAACUCUACCAGCCUCACUGCUGAGGGACAGGAAAACUCAGCUCUGGCUCAUUAUGGACUUGAUGGUAUCUACUUUUGUUUCUCUGUGGAGCUGAAGCUCUGGUGCUCUCCGAGUGUGCAUGAUAAAACCUUGACUGCACCCCAGGCAGGGCAGGGAUUCCUCAGGUCCAUGGAUGAACAGAAAAUCACACCUGUGGGCAGAAGCUGAGCCCUGAAAAGCUGCCUCAGGCUUCCUCCAACAUUAACUUCCUGAAUUAAACUCAACCUCAGUUUUUAUACUAUUCUUGCCACCUUUUUUCUUUCAGUUGAC